rnacentral:rRNA from 1 species
AGAAUCAACGCUGGCGGCGCGCUUAACACAUGCAAGUCGCACGAGAAAGUGGAGCAAUCCAUGAGUACAGUGGCGUACGGGUGAGUAACACGUGGAUCAUCUACCUUUUAGUGGGGAACACCCCUGGGAAACCGGGGAUAAUACCGCAUAAGCUCGUAAGAGGAAAGCCGAAAGGCGCUGAAAGAGGAGUCCGCGGCUGAUUAGCUAGUUGGCGAGGUAAUGGCUCACCAAGGCGAAGAUCGGUAGCCGGCCUGAGAGGGCACACGGCCACACUGGCACUGAAACACGGGCCAGACUCCUACGGGAGGCAGCAGUGGGGAAUCUUGCACAAUGGAGGAAACUCUGAUGCAGCGGCGCCGCGUGAGCGAUGAAGCCCUUCGGGGUGUAAAGCUCUUUCGACGGGAACGAUAAGUGACGGUACCCGGAGAAGAAGCUGCGGCUAACUACGCGCCAGCAGCCGCGUAA